GGAAGGGCUGCAGCUCAGUGACAGAGCAUCUGCUUUGCAUGCAGAAGGUCCCAUGUUCAAUCCCUAGCAUCUCAUGUUCA